ACGGGACUCUUCGGAGUUCAGUGGCGGACGGGUGAGUAACGCGUGAGAAUCUGCCUAGAGGUUGGGGACAACCCCUGGAAACGGGGGCUAAGACCCAAUGUGCCGCAACGUGAAAGAUUUAUCGCCUCUAGAUGAGCUCGCGUCUGAUUAGCUAGUUGGUGAGGUAAAAGCUCACCAAGGCGACGAUCAGUAGCUGGUCUGAGAGGAUGACCAGCCACACUGGGACUGAGACACGGCCCAGACUCCUACGGGAGGCAGCAGUGGGGAAUUUUCCGCAAUGGGCGAAAGCCUGACGGAGCAAGACCGCGUGAGGGAGGAAGGCUCUUGGGUUGUAAACCUCUUUUCUCAGGGAAGAACACAAUGACGGUACCUGAGGAAUCAGCCUCGGCUAACUCCGUGCCAGCAGCCGCGGUAAUACGGAGGAGGCAAGCGUUAUCCGGAAUUAUUGGGCGUAAAGCGUCCGUAGGUGGUCAUGUAAGUCGGUCGUCAAGGCACAGGGCUUAACCCUGUAAUGGCGGUGGAAACUGCACGACUAGAGAGAGGUAGGGGUAGAGGGAAUUCCCAGUGUAGCGGUGAAAUGCGUAGAGAUUGGGAAGAACAUCGGUGGCGAAAGCGCUCUACUGGACCUCAUCUGACGCUGAUGGACGAAAGCUAGGGGAGCGAAUGGGAUUAGAUACCCCAGUAGUCCUAGCCGUAAACGAUGGAUACUAGAUGUUGUCUGUAUCGACCCAGACAGUGUCGUAGCUAACGCGUUAGUAUCCCGCCUGGGGAGUACGCACGCAAGUGUGAAAACUCAAAGGAAUUGACGGGGGCCCGCACAAGCGGUGGAGUAUGUGGUUUAAUUCGAUGCAACGCGAAAGAAACCUUACCAGGUCUUGACAUGUCCUGGAAUCGAGGGGAAAACUUUUCGAAGUGCCUACGGGAAGCCCGGAACACAAGGUGGGUGCAAUGGCUGUUCGUCAGCUCGUGGUCGUG
rnacentral:rRNA from 1 species